CUUUGAUCAUGGCUCAGGAUGAACGCUAGCUACAGGCUUAACACAUGCAAGUCGAGGGGAAACGACAUCGAAAGCUUGCUUUUGAUGGGCGUCGACCGGCGCACGGGUGAGUAACGCGUAUCCAACCUGCCCACCACUUGGGGAUAACCUUGCGAAAGUAAGACUAAUACCCAAUGAUAUCUCUAGAAGGCAUCAGAAAGAGAUUAAAGAUUUAUCGGUGAUGGAUGGGGAUGCGUCUGAUUAGCUUGUUGGCGGGGUAACGGCCCACCAAGGCGACGAUCAGUAGGGGUUCUGAGAGGAAGGUCCCCCACAUUGGAACUGAGACACGGUCCAGACUCCUACGGGAGGCAGCAGUGAGGAAUAUUGGUCAAUGGGCGAGAGCCUGAACCAGCCAAGUAGCGUGCAGGACGACGGCCCUAUGGGUUGUAAACUGCUUUUAUAAGGGAAUAAAGUGAGUCUCGUGAGACUUUUUGCAUGUACCUUAUGAAUAAGGACCGGCUAAUUCCGUGCCAGCAGCCGCGGUAAUACGGAAGGUCCGGGCGUUAUCCGGAUUUAUUGGGUUUAAAGGGAGCGUAGGCCGGAGAUUAAGCGUGUUGUGAAAUGUAGAGGCUCAACCUCUGCACUGCAGCGCGAACUGGUCUUCUUGAGUACGCACAACGUGGGCGGAAUUCGUGGUGUAGCGGUGAAAUGCUUAGAUAUCACGAAGAACUCCGAUUGCGAAGGCAGCUCACGGGAGCGCAACUGACGCUGAAGCUCGAAAGUGCGGGUAUCGAACAGGAUUAGAUACCCUGGUAGUCCGCACGGUAAACGAUGGAUGCCCGCUGUUGGCCUGAAUAGGUCAGCGGCCAAGCGAAAGCAUUAAGCAUCCCACCUGGGGAGUACGCCGGCAACGGUGCAACUCAAAGGAAUUGACGGA
rnacentral:rRNA from 1 species